rnacentral:SRP_RNA from 1 species
GCUGGGCAUGGUGGCAUGUGCCUGUAGUCCCAACUACUCGGGAGGCUGAGGCAGGAGAAUCGCUUGAACCUAGGAGACAGAGGUUGCAGUGAGCUGAGAUGGAGCCACUGCACUCCAGCCUGGGUAACACAGCGAGACUCUGUCUCAA